GAUGAAGAACGCAGCGAAAUGCGAUAAGUAAUGUGAAUUGCAGAAUUCAGUGAAUCAUCGAAUCUUUGAACGCACCUUGCGCCCUUUGGCCAUUCCGAAGGGCAUGCCUGUUUGAGUAUCAUGAACACCUCAACUCUUCAUGGUUUCCAUGAUGAGCUUGGACUUUGGGGGUCUUGCUGGCCUGUGGGUCGGCUCCUCUCAAAUGAAUCAGCUUGCCGGUUUUUGGUGGGCAUCACAGGUGUGAUAACUAUCUACGCUUGUGGUUUUCCACCAGGGUAACCUUCAGCAGUGGAGGUUCACUGGAGCUUACAAAUGUCUCUCCUCUGUGAGGACAGCCCUUUGAAUGUUUGAUCUCAAAUCAGGUAGGACUACCCGCUGAACUUAAGCAUAUCAAUAAGCGGAGGA
rnacentral:misc_RNA from 1 species